UCAAUCAAAGCAAUAUAUAUUAUCUCGCAUGCAUAAAGAGUAUACGAGUGAGCAAAGUCUUUACGUAUUUGAUAGUUUCCUUCAAUAAAGUAGAUUCGAGUCUUUUAUGAAUUCAAUUUAAUUCUUAGUUUGGAUGAGGGGGUAUGGCUGCAUUUCUUUAUUUUCUUUAAUUUGCAUCGCAUUUCUUGUAUUUGUUAAACUUAUAUUAGUCGUCAAAGUUCAAAUAUCAUACCAUAGAGGUGUGGACUUGCUAAUGAUCCCAUGAACAGAAGAUGAAGAAGAAGAAGAAGAAGAUCACCUCUACAAUACAUUAAUGGAAACAAAAUCUUGAGGUUAAAUGUGGGCUAUGAGAGCCAGAAGCCCAAAAUAAUUCACUAUUUCAAACUCCACGCGCCAUUCAAAGACCAAACCUACCCCUUUCAAAGAAGGCCAGGAGUGAAGAGACAUCAGAAGUAGAGUAUUCUUUGCUGCUCUGUAAGAAAGACAGAGAGAGUGUGUGAAAUCAGAGAAAUGUCAGGAAGAGGAGGAAAGAGAGCAGCAGCGGCAAGGGAGGAGGGAGAGGGCGGGGCUGAUGACAACCGCCGGGUAAGAAAUCUGCCAAGCCUGACAACUCCUCUGAUAAUUCUGAUGACAUCGUUGUUUGUGAAAUAGGGAGGAAUAGGAGAGUGACAGUGAGGAAAGAUCAAUGUUGAUAUCCGUGAGUUUUAUCCCAAAGAUGGCAAUCUUCUCCCUGGCAAAAAAGCCUGAAAGUUAAAGAGUAGAAUUUGGUGUGGAUGUCUGAGCUUUUAAGCUCCUAGGUUGGGGAAUGGGUAAACGGAUCCCUCCUCUUCCUUGUUAUCUUUUCUACUUUUACACCUUCUAAUGUUCCUGACAACUAUGGACAUGUGUUUAAUUCCAGGUAUUACAUUAUCGCUGGAGCAGUGGAACAUGCUUCGAGAUCAUGUGGAAGAAAUUACAAGGCACUUGGUCGUUCGUAGGGCAUCAAUUGACAUGGAUACUUUUGUUGAUUGCUAAUGAAUGGUAGUCCAGGAUAUUAGGAUGUUUUGUUUUGGUCUUGGUUUCAAGAAACUGGAAUGGCGUUUGUAGAUAUGUUUUUUUUUCCUUUUAGAUUCGCUGGGGGUUGGUUGAUUUUCUGUAGGCCACGGUGUGCAAAUGUCAUCUCGGACACCAUUACUGGCUUGAUGACAGUGCAAACCCUUUUGUUCAGAGGCCUUUCCUAGCAAUAUGAAUUAAUGGCUCAAACUUUCUACCCGCCCUUCCUCUUGAUUUAGUUUACGGCAUCAUGAGUUGGAGUAUAUUGCUUUAGAGGGUUGGAGUAAUAAUUUACUCAGUUAAAUAUGGUAAAUAUUGCUUUGUUGGUUUUGGCA